UCAAAUAAAGAAAUCUAGGCA
rnacentral:piRNA from 1 species